ACGCUAGCGGCAGGCCUAAUACAUGCAAGUCGAACGAUAGUUGUCAGCUUGCUGAUAACGAAAAGUGGCGCACGGGUGCGUAACGCGUAUGCAACCUACCUUAAUCAGGGGGAUAGCCCGAAGAAAUUCGGAUUAACACCGCAUAAAAACACAGUACAGCAUUGUACAAUGUUCAAAUAUUUAUAGGAUUAAGAUGGGCAUGCGUGACAUUAGUUAGUUGGCGGGGUAACGGCCCACCAAGACCACGAUGUCUAGGGGAUCUGAGAGGAUGACCCCCCACACUGGUACUGAGACACGGACCAGACUCCUACGGGAGGCAGCAGUAAGGAAUAUUGGUCAAUGGAGGCAACUCUGAACCAGCCAUGCCGCGUGCAGGAAGACAGCCCUCUGGGUCGUAAACUGCUUUUAUUCGGGAAUAAACCUACUUACGUGUAAGUAGCUGAAUGUACCGAAGGAAUAAGGAUCGGCUAACUCCGUGCCAGCAGCCGCGGUAAUACGGAGGAUCCAAGCGUUAUCCGGAUUUAUUGGGUUUAAAGGGUGCGUAGGCGGCUUCUUAAGUCAGGGGUGAAAGACGGUAGCUCAACUAUCGCAGUGCCCUUGAUACUGAAGAGCUUGAAUGAACUAGAGGUAGGCGGAAUGUGACAAGUAGCGGUGAAAUGCAUAGAUAUGUCACAGAACACCGAUUGCGAAGGCAGCUUACUAUGGUUAAAUUGACGCUGAGGCACGAAAGCGUGGGGAUCAAAC
rnacentral:rRNA from 1 species